rnacentral:rRNA from 1 species
AGUGAACGCUGGCGGUAGGCCUAACACAUGCAAGUCGAACGGCAGCACAGUAAGAGCUUGCUCUUACGGGUGGCGAGUGGCGGACGGGUGAGGAAUACAUCGGAAUCUACUUUUUCGUGGGGGAUAACGUAGGGAAACUUACGCUAAUACCGCAUACGACCUACGGGUGAAAGCAGGGGAUCUUCGGACCUUGCGCGAUUGAAUGAGCCGAUGUCGGAUUAGCUAGUUGGCGGGGUAAAGGCCCACCAAGGCGACGAUCCGUAGCUGGUCUUAGAGGAUGAUCAGCCACACUGGAACUGGGACACGGUCCAGACUCCUACGGGAGGCAGCAGUGGGGAAUAUUGGACAAUGGGCGCAAGCCUGAUCCAGCCAUACCGCGUGGGUGAAGAAGGCCUUCGGGUUGUAAAGCCCUUUUGUUGGGAAAGAAAAGCAGCAGGUUAAUACCCCGCUGUUCUGACGGUACCCAAAGAAUAAGCACCGGCUAACUUCGUG